rnacentral:rRNA from 1 species
CCUACGGGUGGCAGCAGUGGGGAAUAUUGGUCAAUGGAGGCAACUCUGACCCAGCAACGCCGCGUGAAUGAUGAAGGUCUUCGGAUUGUAAAGUUCUUUGAUGGGGGAUGAAAACAAUGACGUUACCCCAAUAGCAAGCCACGGCUAACUACGGGCCAGCCGCCGCGGUCAUACGUCGGGGGCGAUCGUUCUGCGGAAGGACUGGGCGUAAGGGGUGCGUAGGUGGUUUAGUAAGUUUGAGGGGUAAUUCCGGGGCUCAACCUCGGCGCUGCCGCUAAAACUAUUAGACUAGAGUGCAGGAGGGGUAAGUGGAAUGCCCGGUGUAGCGGUGGAAUGCGUAGAUAUUAGGAGGAACA